UUUCAGUUGAUUUUUUAUUUCAGUUGAUUUUUUAUUUCAGUUAUGAUUUCAGUUUCUAUUACAGUUUCUGUUUUAGUUUCUACUUAAUUUCAGUUUUGAUACGUGGACCUCACGUGGGUGGCUCAUCUAAGAUCAGUGCAAGCAGCAAUGGCUACGCAACUUGACCCGAGUGGACCGAAAUAGCAAUGUUUUUACCUUUAUCUUUGAUGUUCUGUCGACAAUUGACUUUAAUACCUUUGUCUUGGAUGUUUUGUUUGAGGAUUUGUUGUGAUGAAAUAUUAACACUUAUACUAAAUUUCCAAAGCACAAUGAAUCAGGAAAUGACGGAUUUUGUCGCAUAUACCGUCGCUUGCGACUAAGGAUGAACAGUCGCAGCUAAAACAAUGUUAUCAUUUGCGACCGUUCAUCCUUAGUUGCAAGGGACGGUAACGCCCAUGUCAUGAACGACAGUUUCGAAGUUAACACGACAAUUUCCGUCACAUCUGGACAUCUUGGCGAGCGGGCUAGCCACAAAAAUUCCUUGAACGUGCCUUGGGUUGUUUACCAUUAACAUGGAAAUUCCGGGGAUUCCAUACGCAAAGUAAAUGGAACAAGCAUAUUUCGACGGCCCAACCGGAACUAUUCAGGAAUAAACGGUUUGUUUGAAAAGGUUGUCCUCUCUUACCGAUUGGAACGUUUCAACCGGUGAAUUUUGUCCAUUUACACCGUUUUUGUUUUUCACCAGUUCCAGGCUCUUCGCGAUUUAAUACAAACCGAAUGGGUUUUCCAUGUAAACGGUAAACAACCCUUCAUUGCCUUCCGGUCAGUCACUCUAAAUGGAAAGCGCAUAAUCCGAAUGGGAUUUUCUAUCCGAAAUUUUGCUUACCAUUAGC